rnacentral:rRNA from 1 species
CUUGACAAAAUAUAAGAGGUCCAGCCUGCCCAGUGAUAAAUUUAACGGCCGCGGUAUCCUAACCGUGCGAAGGUAGCAUAAUCAUUUGUUCUUUAAAUGGGGACUUGUAUCAACGGCACCACGAGGGCCAUACUGUCUCCUUUCUCUAGUCAGUGAAACUGAUCUCCCCGUGAAGAAGCGGGGAUUUAACUAUUAGACGAGAAGACCCCAUGGAGCUUAAAACUCAUCAUAUAAUUCUGUACCUCAUAUCACCUUAAUUCAGAAUCCUAUAUGCUAGUUUUAGGUUGGGGGGACCUCGGAGUAUAAUUUAACCUCCAUAACAAAUGGGCUAAUACCCUUAUCCAAGAUAAACACCUCUAAGAAUUAUUAAAUUAAUGUUUAAUGACCCGAUAUAUUCGAUCAAUGAAC